rnacentral:tRNA from 1 species
GCCUCCUUAGCUCAACUGGCAGAGCAUCUGACUCUUAAUCAGAGGGUUGAAGGUUCGAGUCCUUCAGGGGGCACCU